AUAUAUAUAUAAUCCUUUACACCCCAUCACUUGAGAUAUUCCAAGCAUUAGCUCUAAACUUUUCUCUGAUGUAACUAUCUCAGUUUUGACUCACUUCCCUUGCUUCGGAACGUCGAAAGAGAUCGUGGUGCUUUAAUAGAGCUUCCAGACAAAUGAUCAUCCCUCAGUUUGAAAUUUUCUGGAGGUGCUGGUAUGGAACUAUGAAUAGCUUGAUCCUGCUCAUUGAACAACUCGCUUUCAUUGAAGCCAUAGUCAGAAAGAUGACCCUGCAGAAAUCGCAUUCUUGACUUCCUCAAGUCUUCUGCUGUCCGAUUGGCAAGAUCUCGCUCAUCUUCUGCAUCAUCAUCUCCUUCAGAAGUUGUCGCCAAAAUCCAGUCAGCCAAACUCUC
rnacentral:misc_RNA from 1 species